GCCGGUGUAGCUCAGUUGGUAGAGCAGCUGUUUUGUAAACAGCAUGUCGGGGGUUCGAGUCCCUUCACCGGCU
rnacentral:tRNA from 1 species